ensembl:lncRNA
AUGGGGUUUUGCAGGGUUUUUGGGGUUUCACUGGGAUUUUACCGGGUUUUAGGGGUGUCACUGAAUUUUGGGGUGCCACUGAGUUUUUGGGGUGUCAUUGGGUUUUUGGGAUUUCACUGGGGUUUUGGGUCAAAUUGGGGGGGAAUUUUGAAUCAAAUUGAGUGGGAAUUUUGGUUCAAACUGGGGGGAAUUUUGGGUCAAACUGGGGGGAAUUUUGGGUCAAACUGGGAGGACUUUUGGGUCAAGCUGGGGGCAAUUUUGGAUCAGACUGGGGGGGAAUUUUGGGUCAAAUUGAGAGGGAAUUUUGGCUCCCUGAGCAGGAUGGGACCUGCGGGCUGGGGUGGAAGAACAGGAACCGUGUCCCCUUCCAAGGACCGGAACAAUUCCCCCAUCCCAGGGCGCUCCAAGCCCCGUCCAACCCCCCCAAAACCCGAAUUCCAGGGGGGACACGCAGGGAUGGAUGGAGAGGGGGAAGGGAGAUGGAGGAGGAGGAGGAGGAGGAGGGGUGGGGAGGUGGAUGAAGAGCGGGAAUGGCUCGGGAAAGGGAAGGAGGCUGCUGCCACCUAGAGCAGCCCAGCCGAGCUUCCCCAUUCCCAAAGAUCCUUUUUGCGGGGAGGCUGGACCGGGAAAUUCGGGAAAAGCAGAAUUCCCAGCCUCGGGGAGCGCCUCUGUUACCGCGGCGCUCGGGGGAUAACUAAUUAAUGAUGGAAAUAAGUAAGAAAAUCCCAUUUUCACACCAAUCCUCACUGGAAAUUUGUGCCCCNGCAAACACUGACCCUGCUCCCAGAUCCUAAACUGGGUGUGCAGAUCCACCUGAACCUACUCCCCGUCCUUCAGCCCCCCAAAGGCAGAACAGAGUGAAUCCCAAGUUACACCGCAAUAUUUUCACUCCACCCCCUAUUUUGGCUCCAUUUCCCAGGAAUGAGCGGCCGGGUCUCAUCCCUGAGCAGGGCAGAAAUUCCAGGAGGGGCCUGGGAGCUCUGGGCGUCCCCAGGAGGGUUUGGUGGCAGCUGGGGGUGCAGAAAUCUCUGUAUUUAUCAUCUCGCCGGUUCGCCGGGACGCGGCCACAAAUCAGCCCCGAAAAUCCAAUCCUGGGGAAAACGGUUGGGAAUUUACAGCGCUCCCAACACUGCGGGUUUAUCCUUUAAUGCUGCUGCUUUAUGCAUUUCUCUCCCUCCAACCCUAUUUAUUUCCUGUUUAUUGGCCCAGCCUCCCCUAAUUUAUGUUUUCAUUACUUUGAUUAACGCCCCUGCUCCCCUGACAUCGUUAUUCCGGCGCAGUUCCCCCAAACCCUCGGUGUUAAAUAAUCCUCGGAUUUAGCCGGGAUGAUUUGUAAUUUAAUAAGCGGCUCCGGCGCCGUGUUUUAUCUCCUAAUUGGGCCGGAAUUAGCAGCGAUUCCGGAAUUAACACAAAUUAUGGGACGCCCCUUGUUGUUGCACGGGGUUUUAUUGGGUUGGAACAACAGCUUUAGGAAUUAUCUGAGCCGCGUUCCCCAAUCCUGGCCGUGAUUCAUUUCUGGAUUUUCCACGGGUGAUAGCUCAGGCAGGAAUUGCUGCCGUGGAGGGAA